AUAUCAAUAAGCGGAGGAAAAGAAACCAACAGGGAUUGCCUUAGUAACGGCGAGUGAAGCGGCAAAAGCUCAAAUUUGAAAUCUGGCACCUUCGGUGUCCGAGUUGUAAUUUGAAGAAGGUAACUUUGGAGUCAGCUCUUGUCUAUGUUCCUUGGAACAGGACGUCACAGAGGGUGAGAAUCCCGUGCGAUGAGAUGUCUGAUUCUAUGUAAAGUGCUUUCGAAGAGUCGAGUUGUUUGGGAAUGCAGCUCUAAGUGGGUGGUAAAUUCCAUCUAAAGCUAAAUAUUGGCGAGAGACCGAUAGCGAACAAGUACAGUGAUGGAAAGAUGAAAAGAACUUUGAAAAGAGAGUGAAAAAGUACGUGAAAUUGUUGAAAGGGAAGGGUUUGAGAUCAGACUUGGUAUUUUGUAUGUCUUGCUUUCGGGUGGGGCCUCUACAGUUUACUGGGCCAGCAUCGGUUUGGACGGUAGGAUAAUGACAUUGGAAUGUGGCACCACCUCGGUGGUGUGUUAUAGACUUUGUUGAUACUGCCUGUCUAGACCGAGGACUGCGUCUUUGACUAGGAUGCUGGCAUAAUGAUCUUAAACCGC
rnacentral:rRNA from 1 species